rnacentral:rRNA from 1 species
GAUGAACGCUGGCGGCGUGCCUAAUACAUGCAAGUCGAGCGAACAGACGAGGAGCUUGCUCCUCUGACGUUAGCGGCGGACGGGUGAGUAACACGUGGAUAACCUACCUAUAAGACUGGGAUAACUUCGGGAAACCGGAGCUAAUACCGGAUAAUAUAUUGAACCGCAUGGUUCAAUAGUGAAAGACGGUUUUGCUGUCACUUAUAGAUGGAUCCGCGCCGCAUUAGCUAGUUGGUAAGGUAACGGCUUACCAAGGCAACGAUGCGUAGCCGACCUGAGAGGGUGAUCGGCCACACUGGAACGGAGACACGGUCCAGACUCCUACGGGAGGCAGCAGUAGGGAAUCUUCCGCAAGGGGCGAAAGCCUGACGGAGCAACGCCGCGUGAGUGAUGAAGGUCUUCGGAUCGUAAAACUCUGUUAUUAGGGAAGAACAAAUGUGUAAGUAACUAUGCACGUCUUGACGGUACCUAAGCAGAAAGCCACGGCUAACUACGU